rnacentral:lncRNA from 1 species
GUUCCCAGACUCUAAUGUCCAGAGUGGUUUGUGUCUCCUUGAAAGAACGUUUUGUGUUUUUUUGUUUUGUUUUUGUUUUUGUUUUUUUUUUUUUUGUUUUUUGUUUUUUUCCUUCUUCCAGUAUAGCUCUUCAAUGCUUUGCCUUGGGCUUUUCAGCAAAGUCCUUUCAGGGACCUUUCCACUAGAUAGCCAAGGCCAAGUUUAUCCUGAAGGGAAAGGGCUGAAAUGACUUCAUUACAUUCCUUAUGGUCACUAGCCCAGACACAGACCUGUUGCUGUCCAGCAGAGAUCAGGAAGUGCCUGUGGCGGCUUGGUUAGCCCAUCGCUCGCUCUCCUCUCCGAGAACGUCUCUCCAAAGCUGAUUCCCUUCUUGAAGGCUCUCAGCAUGGGAUGCUGUAGUCACGAGUGUGAAAGUUGGUGUCCUGGCUGCCCCUGCUAGGAUACCUCCCCUGGGCUUCGGGUAUCAAGGCUCGCCCUUCUCUCUCUUCCCUUCGGCCCAGAUUCAGUGAGUCUUGGAGUCAGAAAGAACCUGGGGAAACAUGUAGGUAAAGUCAGCCAUGGAGAGAGCAGCAGGUCUGGGAUCUGUUAGAGAGAAAAGCUUACAGGCCUGUUGGGUGAGUCUCAAGCUGGGCUGCACUGAUAGCUGAGUCAGAAAAGUACUUCGCUUAUAAGUCAUGAGGGUCUGCGUGUGAUACCUAGAAUCACAGGUUUAAAAAGAAAAUCCAAACAGGGCAUGGUGGUGGAUAAUGGCAAUCCGAGAACUUGGGAAAGGGAGACAGGAGGGCCCCUCAGCUCACUGGCCAGCCAGCCUACCCAGCUUGCUACAUAGCACCCGGGAAACAACACCUGAGGUUGUCUUGUGGCCUCCAUGCUUUCACACACACACACACACACACACACACACACACACACACACACACACACACACGUGUGAACACACACUUGUGCACACACAGGAUUCUCAAGGCAAAGUGAGCAGAUAAAGGGUGUUUGUUUAUUGUUGAUCUUGGUGACAUCCAUCUAGUUAAUUAGAACCCGCACACUUCAUUUGUUUUACAUUGCUUCUGAAUCUUUGUGUGUUGAGCCGCAGCAUCUUAGAACUAGGAGACUUGGAUGUCCUUUAGCUCCAUCUCUCAGAACAAAGUCCUUGGAGGAUUGCUUGAAUCUCAAGAGGUGUUUGGGCUCUCUUACCAUGAGGGUGAGGUUGGGAGCACCCAGAAUUGUCCUUAUCUGCUUUUCUUCUUUAGAGUUCCUAAAGCAAAGCUUGUCUAGAUGAAUAUCAGUAGGUGAGCUAGUCAGGCAGCUGUGUAACAAAAUGCCCCAGACAGUAAACUUACACAACAAAAAGGUUUAUUCUGGGUCAUAGCUGUCUAGCCCAUGGUCAGUUGGGUGUAAAGCCUGUGGUGAGAAAACUCACAGUUGCUGGAAGGCAUCUUAACAGGAGUAUCCCACAAUCCUGUUCAAGGGGACACCCCCAGUGACCUAAGGAACACCGGAAGUCCCCACAUUCAAGGUUUUCACCCCUUAAAGUAAUCCUAAGAGGUGGAGCCUUUUGUUUUCAGGCCUGUAGGGGACUUCCAGAAUCUGGCUGGAAGUUAAGUCACAUAUAUUUGAUACAAGGUGGGUGAAAUCCCAACUUAUCUGAAGAAAUCCAAACACGUGUUUUACUAAAAAGCCUCUAAUUGCGGGCAGAAGAUUUUAGUUCGAAGAAAGAAGCACUUGCUUAUGGCAGACAAUUAGGGCCAUAAUUAAGGAUUAAUUGAUUAAGCAGUUACCUAAUUAAUCUUCUAACUGGUUUCUGCUCUAACCCGAGUUCAACCUUCAAGCAUGGCCCAUGUCUAUACAAUUGCAUGAAGCCAAUGUCUCGAUCUCAGGUGUAUGGAAGGGGACCCCCACUCCCCCGCACAGCGGGUGAGCUCAACCCCGAGACGGUGGAAGUGGUAGGUGACCUCACAUCUCCAGGCCGCAAGUUCCCCUGCUUCCUUUCCCCUUUAUUACAAAUUGGAGAAAAACUCACCUUCAAACAAGCAAUCCAGAAGGAAGGGAGAGAGUUAAUUCUAGACCAGAAGCGGACUGUAAGGGUCAGUACUGUCUUAGGACUGGAAAGGACUAUUCAGUGUAUUGGAAUAAAUUACACUAUAGCUUUUUUUUUUAAAUCAAUGUUGUAUUAAAUAUUUAAUCUCGAUCAGGGGUUUCUACCCCACCUUUGAUCCCAAUAAAAGACAACUUUUAUAUUUACAAUGAGCCUUUAAAGCACUAAAGUUGGGCAAAUAUUUACCCUCUAUUAUGUCUACUCCCCUGCCAAUAACCCCACAGUAUGACUUGCCGUGUUCCAUCUAGGCUACUCCUAUUUCUGAUUGGCCAGGCCUCGUGGCUAUGUUUUCAGGAUUCCUACCCAUGGCAUCUUCUCUCUCCACCUUCUCUCCUUCCCUUGCGGUCUCACUCCUCAGAUGGGAAGCUUGGGAAUCAAAAACCCCAUCUCUGCUGCCCAGCUGUAGGUGUAGGUGUCUUUAUUCACCACUCAGGGAUAACUUGGGAACAAGGUUACAUAGCAUCACUUGGGUCUACUGCAAGAAUCUAUUAGUUCCUGGGCGCAACCGGGGCCAUUAUUUAGCAUCACAGUACAUAGCAAAAGACCAAACUCAAUCUGUAUCUAAACGAAGUUUGUGAGUCAUUCUUACCUCUUGCCUGAUGCUCUUUCUUGAAUGCCUUGGGGAUGUAGGACCUCUGGCCUCUUUCAGAUCUCUAUAGCCAUGAGAAGCAGCCGUGCAGAGCAGACUGGACCCCACAGGAGCCACACCCUUCUUCCCUGUGGCUCUGGCCUUGAGCCAUCCCGGCGAUGGCCAGUCCUAAAACCAGCCACUCACUGUGCUUGCUUGCUUCAAGCCCGGGUUGGGGGAAAUGCCUUACUUUUCCUAUAUUCUGGAGCAGUGGGAAACUUGAAGAGAAACUUACCCAUGUGCUUCUAAUUAGUUUCUACUUAAUUCUUCAGUGCUUGCUUUCUGUUUUGUUUUUUAAGGGAGUGGGGUGGGGUGCUGCAUAAUGAAUAAGUCUAGAGAGCAGGCUUUCUGAAGAGAUUUUUCUUGACC